rnacentral:rRNA from 4 species
GAUCAAGUGUCUUAAGGGCAAUUGGUGGAUGCCUUGGCAUGCACAGGCGAUGAAGGACGUGAUACGCUGCGAUAAGCUACGGGGAGGUGCGAAUACCCUUUGAUCCGUAGAUUUCCGAAUGGGGAAACCCACCUAAGGUACUUGGAAAAUCAGAGCAGCCAGAAGGUCGCAAGGCCGACUUGCUGCUGUGGUUUCCAAGUAUCGAUAAUAGGUAACUUACCCUGAAUACAUAGGGGUAAAGUGGCGAACGCGGGGAACUGAAACAUCUAAGUACCCGUAGGAAAGGACAUCAACCGAGACUCCGGAAGUAGUGGCGAGCGAACCCGGACCAGGCCAGUGGCGAUUGAGAGACAAGCGGAACCUUCUGGAAAGUAGGGCCAUAGUGGGUGACAGCCCCGUACGCGUAAUGCAAUCAAUCGUCCUCGAGUAAGGCGGGACACGUGAAAUCCUGUCUGAAAUUGGGGGGACCACCCUCCAAGCCUAAGUACUCGUGCAUGACCGAUAGCGAACUAGUACCGUGAGGGAAAGGUGAAAAGCACCCCGACAAGGGGAGUGAAAGAGUACCUGAAACCGAUUGCCUACAAACAGUGGAAGCCCAAGGUUCGUCCUGGGUGACCACGUACCUUUUGUAUAAUGGGUCAGCGACUUAGUGUGACGAGCAAGCUUAAACCGCUAGGUGUAGGCGCAGCGAAAGCGAGUCUGAAUAGGGCGUUCAGUUCGUCGCAUUAGACCCGAAACCGAGUGAUCUAGCCAUGAGCAGGUUGAAGGUAAGGUAACACUUACUGGAGGACCGAACCCAUAACUGUUGCAAUAGUUCGGGAUGACUUGUGGCUAGGGGUGAAAGGCCAAUCAAACUCGGAAAUAGCUGGUUCUCCGCGAAAUCUAUUUAGGUAGAGCGUCGACCGAAUACCCCAGGGGGUAGAGCACUGGAUGGGCUAGGGGUCCUCACCGGAUUACCAAACCUAACCAAACUCCGAAUACCUGGGAGUACUAGUCGGCAGACACACGGCGGGUGCUAACGUCCGUCGUGAAAAGGGAAACAACCCUGACCUACAGCUAAGGUCCCCAAGUUAUGGCUAAGUGGGAAAGGAUGUGAGGAUCCCAAAACAACCAGGAUGUUGGCUUAGAAGCAGCCAUCAUUUAAAGAAAGCGUAACAGCUCACUGGUCUAAAUAAGGGUCUUUGCGCCGAAAAUGUAACGGGGCUAAAGCCAUACACCGAAGCUUAGGGUUUGGUCCGCAAGGGCCAAGCGGUAGCGGAGCGUUCUGUAAGCUGAUGAAGCCAUACCCGUGAGGGGUGGUGGAGGUAUCAGAAGUGCGAAUGCUGACAUGAGUAACGUAAGGGGAGUGAGAGACUCCCCCGCCGAAAGACCAAGGGUUCCUGCUUAAAGCUAAUCUGAGCAGGGUUAGCCGGCCCCUAAGACGAGGCGGAAACGCGUAGUCGAUGGGAACCACGUUAAUAUUCGUGGGCUUGGAGGUAGUGACGGAUCAUUGAGGUAGUCCAAUCUUAUCGGAUUGAACGGGCUGCUGCGUGGUUCCAGGAAAUAGCUCCUCCUUAUAAACCGUACCCGAAACCGACACUGGUGGUCUGGUAGAGUAUACCAAGGCGCUUGAGAGAACUAUGCUGAAGGAACUCGGCAAAUUGCACGCGUAACUUCGGAAGAAGCGUGACCCUUUUCUACGCAAGUAGAGGAGGGUGGCACAGACCAGGGGGUAGCGACUGUUUAUCAAAAACACAGGGCUCUGCGAAGUCGCAAGACGACGUAUAGGGUCUGACGCCUGCCCGGUGCUGGAAGGUUAAGAGGAGGGGUGCAAGCUCUGAAUCGAAGCCCCAGUAAACGGCGGCCGUAACUAUAACGGUCCUAAGGUAGCGAAAUUCCUUGUCGGGUAAGUUCCGACCUGCACGAAUGGCGUAACGACUUCCCCGCUGUCUCCAGCAUAGACUCAGUGAAAUUGAAUUCCCCGUGAAGAUGCGGGGUUCCUGCGGUUAGACGGAAAGACCCCGUGCACCUUUACUAUAGCUUUACAUUGGCAUUCGUAGUGGCAUGUGUAGGAUAGGUGGUAGGCUUUGAAACCUGGGCGCCAGCUCAGGUGGAGCCACCCUUGAAAUACCACCCUUAUUACUAUGGAUGUCUAACCGCGGCCCGUUAUCCGGGUCCGGGACAAUGUAUGGUGGGUAGUUUGACUGGGGCGGUCGCCUCCUAAAGAGUAACGGAGGCGCGCGAUGGUGGGCUCAGAACGGUCGGAAAUCGUUCGCUGAGUGCAAUGGCAUAAGCCUGCCUGACUGCGAGACUGACAAGUCGAGCAGAGACGAAAGUCGGUCAUAGUGAUCCGGUGGUCCCGCGUGGAAGGGCCAUCGCUCAACGGAUAAAAGGUACGCCGGGGAUAACAGGCUGAUGACCCCCAAGAGUCCAUAUCGACGGGGUUGUUUGGCACCUCGAUGUCGACUCAUCGCAUCCUGGGGCUGGAGCAGGUCCCAAGGGUAUGGCUGUUCGCCAUUUAAAGCGGUACGUGAGUUGGGUUCAGAACGUCGUGAGACAGUUCGGUCCCUAUCUGCCGUGGGUGUAGGAAUAUUGAAAGGAUCUGUCCCUAGUACGAGAGGACCGGGAUGGACGGAUCUCUGGUGGACCUGUUGUGGCGCCAGCCGCAUAGCAGGGUAGCUAUAUCCGGACGGGAUAACCGCUGAAGGCAUCUAAGCGGGAAACCCACCUUAAAACGAGUAUUCCCUGAGAACCGUGGAAGACGACCACGUUGAUAGGCCGGGUGUGGAAGAGCGGCAACGCUUGAAGCUUACCGGUACUAAUAGUUCGAUCGGCUUGAUCGUUCUCAUU